rnacentral:rRNA from 1 species
GACGAACGCUGGCGGCAUGCCUAAUACAUGCAAGUCGAGCGAACAGAUGAAGUGCUUGCACUUCUGACGUUAGCGGCGAACGGGUGAGUAACACGUAAGGAAUCUACCUAUAAGCGGGGGAUAACAUUCGGAAACGGGUGCUAAUACCGCAUAAUAUCUUCUUCCGCAUGGAAGAAGAUUGAAAGACGGCUCUGCUGUCACUUAUAGAUGACCUUGCGGUGCAUUAGUUAGUUGGUGGGGUGACGGCCUACCAAGACGAUGAUGCAUAGCCGACCUGAGAGGGUGAUCGGCCACAUUGGGACUGAGACACGGCCCAAACUCCUACGGGAGGCAGCAGUAGGGAAUCUUCCGCAAUGGGCGAAAGCCUGACGGAGCAAUGCCGCGUGAGUGAAGAAGGCCUUCGGGUCGUAAAACUCUGUUAUAAGAGAAGAACAAAUUGUAGAGUAACUGCUACAGUCUUGACGGUAUCUUAUAAGAAAGCCACGGCUAACUACGUGCCAGCCGCCGCGGUAA